rnacentral:rRNA from 1 species
AGCUCCCUGAAAAAAAAUAGGGAGUCCCGCCUGCCCAGUGGUAUUCACUAAACGGCCGCGGUAUCUUGACCGUGCAAAGGUAGCAUAAUCAUUUGUCUCUUAAAUGGAGACUGGUAUGAAUGGCUAAACCUUUCUAAGCUGUCUCCCUCCCUGCCCUUAUAAACUUCUACUGCUGCGAAGAAGCAGCAAUAAAAGAGAAAGACGAGAAGACCCUGUCGAGCUUCAGCCACAAAAUAAACAAAUAACAAGCCCAAAGAACUUAUUAAUCGCUAUUACUCAAAGGCUUUGGUUGGGGCAACCAUGGAGAAAAAGGAUCCUCCAGAAAAGUGGAAGAGAACCUCUCUCCACACAAAAACUACCGAACCAGAAACUGGAAAUCGGAAAAAGUUACCGCAGGGAUAACAGCGUCAUCCUCUUUAAGAGUCCUUAUUGACGAGAGGGUUUGCGACCUCGAUGUUGGAUUGGGGCCACCCUAGGGUGCAAAAGCUCUAAACGGUUGGACUGUUCGUCCAUUAAAGCCCUACG